CUAGUCUCUUCCUUCUUCUGUUUGCCGGCGAGAGGUCUGUUUGUGGCUGAGUAAAGGGAGUCUCAUCUUGUUCAGAUUCAUCGCAUUCCAUGGCUAAACGACUGCACAGUUUUGCUCUAAAUAAGAGCAUGAAUUGGAACUCUGUAGAACAUCUCUUUUGGCAAUCCCACAAAGUCUAAGGAGCUAUUUGAAAGAUUUGAUGUAUUCAAAAUUUAAUUCUUUUUGUGUAAGGGAGAUAACAGUGUUUUUGGAAUGUAAGUGAUACCGCUAUGUAGCUAGUAAUUUUUGUGCACCUCCCUGUUCAUGAAACUUUACCUUAUCAAAAGGAAUUUGUUAUGUCUGAUUUAAUUGAAAAGUUGGGUGAUUUUGGUUGUCAU